GGGUUGCAGAGCCCGCCCUGCUGCACGGCCGGGGAGCCCUUCGGUGUGCUCGAUUUGUGUUUCUUUGGACUCACAAAAGUGUAUUUUCCUCGGAAUUUCUGCCACCAAAUCGCCCGGUUUCCCCGGUGAGGGGGGAGAAGAGCAGCCAGAAACGUGUUCGGAACCUAUGGAGGGACAAAGCGUCCUUGGACACAUCGUGCAUGCACAGCUGGUCCGCAAUCUGCCAUCUUCCUGGCUGUUGGCACCCCAGACACUGAUGUGACACACUUCCAGUUAGCAAGACUAGCACAGAAGGCCAGCACUGAGCAGCCAGGAGCAGGGAGCAGCAGACAUCCAGCUGUAUAGAGGAGGUAAGUAAAGAGAAACCUGAUGGGGUUUGGGUUUGCUCAAACUGCAAUGAGACAUGUACAAGGAAACUUAAUAACUGAAAUUACUCAAAGCUGUUGAGAAAAGGGCCUGGUGAUCAGUAAGGUGAAUGUUUGAGUAAUUCUAAUAUUAAUUGUCCAAAUCUAAGGCAUGGCCUUUUUAUUAAGGAAUUCGCUAGGAAAGAAAAAUAAGAAAGAAAGAAAAUAAAUAGAACCAUAAACAAAGUGGAGGAAAAAUUGCAAUCUCUUCUUGUUUUAUCAGUUCUUUAGGCCUUGGUGUGCUUGAGUACAUAGAAAGACUUUCAAGGGUUAUCAUUAUCAGCCACAUCGAUGGAUGAAGACAGGAAUUUUUGUUUGCAUUUGACACUAAUGAAAAAAAUGAUGAGUUCUUAAUCUUCAAGUCCGUUUGGGUUUAGAUUUUUAUUAUUUUCAUUUUACCACAUGUGCUUAUUGUCCCUACAUGGUGAAUGGUCUUAGCUUUGGUUUGUG